GUGAUAAUGACCCUAUGUUCUUGAAAGCUAUGCCUCUUGAAAGGACCUCAGUUCUAGCAGGUCCUACCAAUCUGAAAAGCCUUUGGAGACAGGUUGUAUAUUUUCUUCCCAAUGACCAGCCUGACUGAAUUUGGAGAAGUUCAGUAUCAGAUUGGCUGAAGGUCAAUGAAUUGUUUAGUCACAACUCUUCAAGACCAUCCGGAUGAAGAGGGGCAAAAUGUUUGAUAGACCACCUUCUAAUUAUCUAUUUCGAUUAGACAUAUCUUAGGACAGUGUUGGCAGAUGUUUUCAAGGUCACCUGCCCAAACUGCAACUUCAAGCUGCCUGUGAGCCCCCUACAUUACCUCAGACAGCAGAGGGAGGAAGUGCUCACAUUUGGGCAGCUGGACAGAAGGGUGGAACAUGCAAAAAAUGUACUUGGACACUGUGGAGGAGGGGAAUGGAGCAGCCCUCUCCCUGCCACCCCUGGCACUUGUGCCAUGACUUCACCAACACAGUCUUGGGAUGUUCAGGGGCUUGGGGGAGGGGGGUUGAAUAAUGAGCUCCUAAAACUCUAUUUAUAAAUCUGCCUAAGGGGCAUUCAGAGUCUUUGGUCAUCCAGAAGGACACUGACAUAUCAAUCUGGGCGACUUUAAUUAAUAAAUUGAAAUUCUUAACCCAAA